GCCAUCGUGGUGUAGUGGUCAAAACGCUCGACGCGUGACCGAGUGGUUCGUGGUUCGAUUCCCGGAGAAGGCG
rnacentral:tRNA from 1 species